rnacentral:rRNA from 1 species
UACGUAGGGUGCAAGCGUUGUCCGGGAUUAUUGGGCGUAAAGAGCUCGUAGGCGGUCUGUCGCGUCGGCUGUGAAAACCCGGGGCUCAACCCCGGGCCUGCAGUCGAUACGGGCAGACUAGAGUGCGGUAGGGGAGACUGGAAUUCCUGGUGUAGCGGUGAAAUGCGCAGAUAUCAGGAGGAACACCGGUGGCGAAGGCGGGUCUCUGGGCCGUAACUGACGCUGAGGAGCGAAAGCGUGGGGAGCGAACAGG